rnacentral:rRNA from 1 species
UACGGAGGGGGGCUAGCGUUGUUCGGAAUUACUGGGCGUAAAGCGCGCGUAGGCGGCUUUGUAAGUUAGAGGUGAAAGCCCGGAGCUCAACUCCGGAAUUGCCUUUAAGACUGCAUCGCUAGAAUCAUGGAGAGGUGAGUGGAAUUCCGAGUGUAGAGGUGAAAUUCGUAGAUAUUCGGAGGAACACCAGUGGCGAAGGCGGCUCACUGGUCCGGUACUGACGCUGAGGUGCGAAAGCGUGGGGGAGCAAACAGG